rnacentral:rRNA from 1 species
UACGGAGGGGGCAAGCGUUGUUCGGAAUCACUGGGGGUAAAGGGUGCGUAGGCGGUCCGUUAAGUCUGAUGUGAAAGCCCUGGGCUCAACUCAGGAAUUGCAUUGGAAACUGGCGGGCUGGAGUACGGGAGAGGGAAGCGGAAUUCCUGGUGUAGCGGUGAAAUGCGUAGAUACCAGGAGGAACACCGGUGGCGAAGGCGGUUUCCUGGCCCAGUACUGACGCUGAGGCACGAAAGCGUGGGGAGCGAACGGG